CACCCUCUCCCUCCGUUCCGAAUUACUUGUCGCAGGUAUGGAUGUAUCUAGAUGUAUUUUAGUUCUAGAUACAUCAAUUUCUUUGACAAGUAAUUUGCAACGGAGGGAGUUGUUG
rnacentral:pre_miRNA from 1 species